GACGAACGCUGGCGGCGUGCCUAAUACAUGCAAGUCGAGCGGACAGAAGGGAGCUUGCUCCCGGAAGUCAGCGGCGGACGGGUGAGUAACACGUGGGCAACCUGCCCUGCAGAUUGGGAUAGCUCCGGGAAACCGGGGCUAAUACCGAAUAACAUUGGAAACCUCAUGGUUUCCUUUUAAAAGGCGGCUUCGGCUGUCACUGCAGGAUGGGCCCGCGGCGCAUUAGCUAGUUGGUGAGGUAACGGCUCACCAAGGCGACGAUGCGUAGCCGACCUGAGAGGGUGAUCGGCCACACUGGGACUGAGACACGGCCCAGACUCCUACGGGAGGCAGCAGUAGGGAAUCUUCCGCAAUGGACGAAAGUCUGACGGAGCAACGCCGCGUGAGUGAAGAAGGUUUUCGGAUCGUAAAACUCUGUUGUCAGGGAAGAACAAGUACGGUAGUAACUGCCCGUACCUUGACGGUACCUGGCCAGAAAGCCACGGCUGACUAAGUGCCAGCAGCCGCAGUAA
rnacentral:rRNA from 1 species